rnacentral:rRNA from 1 species
UACGUAGGGUGCGAGCGUUAAUCGGAAUUACUGGGCGUAAAGCGUGCGCAGGCGGUUCGUUAAGUCUGAUGUGAAAGCCCCGGGCUCAACCUGGGAACUGCAUUGGAAACUGGCGAGCUUGAGUAUGGCAGAGGGGGGGUGGAAUUCCGAGUGUAGAGGUGAAAUUCGUAGAUAUUCGGAGGAACACCAGUGGCGAAGGCGGCUCACUGGUCCAUUACUGACGCUGAGGUGCGAAAGCGUGGGGGAGCAAACAGG